GACGAACGCUGGCGGCGUGCCUAAUACAUGCAAGUAGAACGCUGAAGAGAGGAGCUUGCUCUUCUUGGAUGAGUUGCGAACGGGUGAGUAACGCGUAGGUAACCUGCCUGGUAGCGGGGGAUAACUAUUGGAAACGAUAGCUAAUACCGCAUAAAAUGGAUUAUCGCAUGAUAAUUCAUUGAAAGGUGCAAAUGCAUCACUACCAGAUGGACCUGCGUUGUAUUAGCUAGUUGGUGGGGUAACGGCUCACCAAGGCGACGAUACAUAGCCGACCUGAGAGGGUGAUCGGCCACACUGGGACUGAGACACGGCCCAGACUCCUACGGGAGGCAGCAGUAGGGAAUCUUCGGCAAUGGACGGAAGUCUGACCGAGCAACGCCGCGUGAGUGAAGGAGGUUUUCGGAUCGUAAAGCUCUGUUGUAAGAGAAGAACGAGUGUGAGAGUGGAAAGUUCACACUGUGACGGUAUCUUACCAGAAAGGGACGGCUAACUACGUGCCAGCAGCCGCGGUAAUACGUAGGUCCCGAGCGUUGUCCGGAUUUAUUGGGCGUAAAGCGAGCGCAGGCGGUUAGAUAAGUCUGAAGUUAAAGGCUGUGGCUUAACCAUAGUACGCUUUGGAAACUGUUUAACUUGAGUGCAAGAGGGGAGAGUGGAAUUCCAUGUGUAGCGGUGAAAUGCGUAGAUAUAUGGAGGAACACCGGUGGCGAAAGCGGCUCUCUGGCUUGUAACUGACGCUGAGGCUCGAAAGCGUGGGGAGCAAACAGG
rnacentral:rRNA from 1 species